GGCUAACGCCGUGCCAGGAGGCGGGGGAAGUAGGUGGGUGCAAGCGUUAGUCGGAUUUAUUGGGGUGAAAGGGUCCGUAGGCGGACUUAUAAGUAAGUGGGGAAAGCCUGUCGCUUAACGAUAGAACUGCCAUUGAUACUGUAAGUCUUGAGUAUAUUUGAGGUAGCUGGAAUAAGUAGUGUAGCAGUGAAAUGCAUAGAUAUUACUUAGAACACCAAUUGCGAAGGCAGGUUACCAAGACAUAACUGACGCUGAGGGACGAAAGCGUGGGGAGCGAACAGGAUUAGAUACCCCUGUAUC
rnacentral:rRNA from 1 species